rnacentral:rRNA from 1 species
UGGGGAAUAUUGGGCAAUGGGGGCAACCCUGAUCCAGCAAUGCCGCGUGUGUGAAGAAGGUCUUCGGAUUGUAAAGCACUUUCGACGGGGACGAUGAUGACGGUACCCGUAGAAGAAGCCCCGGCUAACUUCGUGCCAGCAGCCGCGGUAAUACGAAGGGGGCUAGCGUUGCUCGGAAUGACUGGGCGUAAAGGGCGUGUAGGCGGUUUACACAGUCAGAUGUGAAAUCCCCGGGCUUAACCUGGGAGCUGCAUUUGAUACGUGUAGACUAGAGUGUGAGAGAGGGUUGUGGAAUUC